GUGGGUUAUGGGGACAUGCAUCCUGUCACUAUUGGAGGCAAAAUAGUAGGAUCUCUCUGUGCCAUCGCUGGUGUGCUGACUAUUGCCUUGCCCGUUCCAGUCAUUGUCUCCAAC
rfam:Ophiophagus hannah scaffold100.1, whole genome shotgun sequence.